AAUUCAACCUAGUACAAGAGGAACCGUUGAUUCACACAAUUGGUCAUUGCUCUUGGUUGAAAAGCCAGUGGCACGAAGUUACCGUGCGCUGGAUUAUGACUGAACGUGUGGUACUCUUCCAG
rnacentral:rRNA from 1 species